rnacentral:rRNA from 1 species
ACGGAGGGUGCGAGCGUUAAUCGGAAUUACUGGGCGUAAAGCGCGCGUAGGCGGCUCGGUCAGUCGGAUGUGAAAGCCCUGGGCUUAACCUGGGAAUUGCAUUCGAUACUGCCGGACUAGAGUAUGGGAGAGGGAAGUGGAAUUUCCGGUGUAGCGGUGAAAUGCGUAGAUAUCGGAAGGAACACCAGUGGCGAAGGCGACUUCCUGGCCCAAUACUGACGCUGAGGUGCGAAAGCGUGGGUAGCGAACAGG